rnacentral:tRNA from 1 species
UUUCAUCAAAGGGACUAUAGUUUAGUUGGAUAUAACGACCGGCUACGAACCGGUAGGUCUCAGG